AGACCCUAUUGUGCAGCAACCAUAGAAGGAGCACCAUGCGCUGCUCCAUGCCCAGGCGUCAGACCACUAAAGAGAAGCCAGUCAGACGAAGCCCAACCAUCCAUCGGUGCUGGAGAGGCCUGAUCAUACCCAGUAGACUUCAGAUCUGGAUAAAGACCUAUUUGUACGGCAGCCACACCAUGCUGCAUACCAAACGCCACUCCAUGCCCAGGCGUUGUUUCAACUUAUGUCAGCCGGUCAUGAGGACCCCGUAAAUCUGCCGAUGCUAGGGGACCACCGUAUUGACAAUCAAAUCUGUAGUAUAUCUCUGUGCUAGAUGCCUCAAACGGCCACAGAUCUGGCACUACACACAUCCUCUUGUAGUCUAUCCACGACCGUUACAGAAAGUACGACCCUCUUGUAGUCUAUCCACGACCGUUACAGAAAGUAUGACCACCUCUCAUAGCCACCGCCGUCCCUGAAAAAUGAAGAUCCGAAGUAGUAGGGCCAACCAUACUCGCCUGAAACGGAGUUUCCAGUACUAAUUUUUUGCUGUCGAUUCUCAUUCUCCAGGAGUAUGUCAACCAACUUUGUCAUGGGCAGAGGUUCAGAAGAGAAGGACACUAAUGUAACCACCGAGGCGAACUCCGGCGAAAGCCCCGCGAGUACUAUCUCGACUCUCUCAGAAUCCAAGAUCUGGUGCCUUGAAGCCUCAAUUACAGUAACUAAGAGACGAGUCACAGUGCUCGAAACAUCGCUGGAUGUAGUCACUCAUGUAAAACACGAUAACAAUGGACUGCUAAUCGUGGAUAACAACCACGAUGCCGGUAACUUAUCUUGUUCAUAAAAUAGAGAAAACUCAAGGUUGAGAAUUAACUUUCCUUCUUGAUCUGGUACAAACCACGGCGGAAUCGGCAGAGUUCCGUUCACAAAUCUGGUAAGCUCGUAUCCUUCAAUUAUCAAUUUCACGUGCUGUUGUCAUUGGAUGAAAUUACUUUCAUCUAGCUUAAUCGUAUCAUGUCGAGGGAAGCUUUGGAUUAGACGAGAUUUGCCAAGAUCAACAUUGAAUGAUGUUGCUAGAUUCAGAGUCGAAGGAACUGUCUGUGGGCCAUUAGGAGCAGUAGUAGAUUAUUCUGAAUUUGCUAUGUUUGGCAGCGGAAGAGAGUGCCCAGAACUUAGGCAAAUGAAUGAUACCAUGAAAAGGUUUUUGACGACUUAAUGAAGGUAAAGAAAGCACUAAGUAAACAAUUUUGCAACUACUGAAUAAACUGGAAAAUUUAUUUUUUUCAUAUUUGCAGAUGAACAUGUAUUUAUACACUUGAUUUCUUAAUUGUUGUAUAACAGCUUAACUGCAAAUUUGUUAAUAAUAGAAAUCUAGAAUGUAACUGUUCUAGCUACUU